GGUUUUUUCAAAGCGCCAGGACCUCUGGAAAUUAUAGCGCUAUUGCCUUUGCGCAUUUUUUCCAGAGGUUGACGAGGACUGGGGAGAAUCGAGGUUUUCGGCGGGUGCCCCAGCGGGGUUUUGCCUUUUUCCCUCGCAACUUUCUGCUACAAACCCCGGAAGGCAACUUCUGGGACAAAGGCAGAAAGAAAAAAGGC
rnacentral:ncRNA from 2 species